rnacentral:rRNA from 1 species
UGGGGAAUAUUGGACAAUGGGCGCAAGCCUGAUCCAGCCAUGCCGCGUGAGUGAAGAAGGCCUUCGGGUUGUAAAGCUCUUUUGUCCGGAAAGAAAAGCUCGCGGUUAAUACCCGCGGGUGAUGACGGUACCGGAAGAAUAAGCACCGGCUAACUACGUGCCAGCAGCCGCGGUAAUACGUAGGGUGCAAGCGUUAAUCGGAAUUACUGGGCGUAAAGCGUGCGCAGGCGGUCUUUUAAGACAGAUGUGAAAUCCCCGGGCUUAACCUGGGAACUGCAUUUGUGACUGAAAGGCUAGAGUACGGCAGAGGGGGAUGGAAUUCCGCGUGUAGCAGUGAAAUGCGUAGAUAUGCGGAGGAACACCGACGGCGAAGGCAGUCCCCUGGGCCUGUACUGACGCUCAUGCACGAAAGCGUGGGGAGCAAA